rnacentral:rRNA from 1 species
CCGGCGCACGGGUGAGUAACGCGUAUGCAACCUGCCCGUUUCAGCGGGAUAACCCGGAGAAAUCCGGCCUAAUACCGCAUGUGGCCGAGGGGAGGCAUCUUCUUUCGGCCAAAGGAGGCGACUCCGGAGACGGAUGGGCAUGCGUGACAUUAGCUUGUUGGCGGGGUAACGGCCCACCAAGGCGACGAUGUCUAGGGGUUCUGAGAGGAAGGUCCCCCACACUGGUACUGAGACACGGACCAGACUCCUACGGAAGGCAGCAG